UUUUCAACCAUUAUGAAUGUUUUAAUUUCAACCGUUUUAGAAGUUCAGAUGAAAAAAACAGAUUAUGGUUGAAAUUUAAACGUAGUCCAAAAUGAAAACACGGAAACACAUUAACUGUUGUCGGGUGCUAGUGCCGGUGUAUACUGUUUAGCUCCACAUCGGAUUUGCUUGGUACAUCUGCUGGCUGGGAACGAGCAGCGAUCGCAGAACUGGACAAAAGAGAGGAGAGGCCGUAAGCGGAAUCGGAACAAAUGUUAGCAGCUCCGAGGAGAUUCCAACAAUUUUGGAAAAUAUCUCUUCCAAAGGAGAUUAAGAGCUAUCCGGAUGUGGGGCGCAAGUUGUUUCCGUAAUACCAAGGUUCUGAGCGUCGAAACCAAGCGCCACGAUUAUCGGCACAGGUGGAAGAGCUAGUGGUUGCCCGGGUCUUUUACCAUGCAGAAUUGAUCCGGAACAAUUUUUUCAAAUUAUUUUUUUCCGAUUUGGCACCGUUGGGGAUCAGAACGUCAGAAUUCCCAAGCACUCCUCUGAAGACAACGCAAUGUCCUUCAAAAAUGUGAAACGGAAUGUAAACAGAACAGUUCCGGUUUUUAUAAUUAUCGAUAAAUAAAGCAGGAUCAGAAACAUGAUUUGAUGACAUUAAUUGAAUGUUGAUAUUAAUUUAAAUUUAUUUCCGAAAUCUUCUUUUUAAUUAUUUAAUCGAAUUAACCUAGUUUCUGUAGUCGAAAAAACGGUUAUUUAACAACCAUUUUCCAAUCUAGGUAAACGGUUGAAAAAUAACCAUAAUCCUAGUUCUCCGUAAAAUCUCAUUUUAUGAGUUUUCGCACAAAACUCAUAAAAUGACUUAACCCACAAAACUGCCAUUAUGGUUAUUUUUCAAACAUUUAUGGUUUAACUUGGCCC